UCCCCCCUCCCUUCCAGGGACGGUUGGGGGCGGGGGGCAGUCUGCAGCCUUCGUCUCCUUGAGACUGGUUCAAACCAACCUUUGGGUCACUUCUACCACCCCAGUGACGGCAGAGCUGUGUGGGGCUGUGGUAGACAAACUCCUCCGCGGCUCGGAUUUCAGAGAGGAUGAGAAUGGAGUAAGACUGAGCGGCAGAUGAAACCAGUUUGGCUGUGGACAGGCCAAGGAGGUGAUGGAGGAGUUUCCUGAGUCCCCAGAUAAAAUAAUGCCUACUUAAGAACUCCAGGGGCUGACUGCAUGGAAAUGGCUAGAAUGGUAGAUCUCACCUGAAGAGGAAAUUUGCCACCACCAAGCCUACUUUUACUUGACAUCACCACCUGGUCAAGAAUCUGUUACUACCAGCUGCAAACAACCAGGUUUUAUGUCAAAAGAACCUCCAUCUAAUUGGCAUCAAGAAGAUUAUCAAAACUGAUGCUGGGAGCUGCCUACCAGGCUUCCCAAACUCCCCUUUCUCCAGCACUCUUUGUUAUUAUUAAUGUAAGGGACUGACGGUUUUGGCAAAAUUUCAAAGGAUAAAUUUUUUUUCUUUCUUAA